rnacentral:rRNA from 1 species
UACGGGAGGCAGCAGUGGGGAAUAUUGCACAAUGGGCGCAAGCCUGAUGCAGCCAUGCCGCGUGUAUGAAAAAGGCCUUUCGGGUUGUAAAGUACUUUCAGUCGUGAGGAAGGUGUUAAGGUUAAUAACCUUAGCAAUUGACGUUAGCGACAGAAGAAGCACCGGCUAACUCCGUGCCAGCAGCCGCGGUAAUACGGAGGGUGCGAGCGUUAAUCGGAAUUACUGGGCGUAAAGGGCACGCAGGCGGUUAAUUAAGUUGGAUGUGAAAUCCCCGGGCUUAACCUGGGAAUGGCAUUCAAGACUGGUUAGCUAGAGUCUUGUAGAGGGGGUAGAAUUCCAUGUGUAGCGGUGAAAUGCGUAGAGAUGUGGAGGAAUACCGGUGGCGAAAGGCGGCCCCCUGGACAAAGACUGACGCUCAUGUGCGAAAGCGUGGGGAGCAAACAGGGAUUAGAUACC